rnacentral:rRNA from 1 species
UACGUAGGGUGCGAGCGUUGUCCGGAAUUAUUGGGCGUAAAGCGCACGUAGGCGGAUUGCUAAGUCAGGGGUGAAAUCCUGGAGCUCAACUCCAGAACUGCCUUUGAUACUGGCGAUCUCGAGUCCGGGAGAGGUGAGUGGAACUGCGAGUGUAGAGGUGAAAUUCGUAGAUAUUCGCAAGAACACCAGUGGCGAAGGCGGCUCACUGGCCCGGUACUGACGCUGAGGUGCGAAAGCGUGGGGAGCAAACAGG